UGAGGAACUAAAAGCACAAUCAGCUUGAUGUUGAGAAGAAGGGCUGCACAUCAGAGAGGCUGUUUAGUUUCUCAUUCUACUGCAGUGGAAGAACAUUGCUCAUCUGCUGUCUGUUUGGCUUUAACAACUCCAAAGACAUGUUGCUUUACCUGUUUUUACUUUUCUCUCCCUUUAUAGCCCUGAGUUCCAUGAACAGCAUAAAGCCAGAAAGUACUGAAGAACAUGUUGCAGAGGGCAAAAACAUCAACCUGACCUGUACAUAUGAGGGUGAUAUCUACAGUAUCCAGUGGUACCGACAAUACCAGAGAUCCAGUCCAGAGUUCCUGCUCUUCAUCACAGAGGAAGGGUUGACUCAUCCAACUGGUUCUGAUUUCUCAGCUCACAUUGACAAGUCAAAGAAACGUGUUAAACUGGAGAUCAUCUCAGCUAAGGUGUCUGACUCUGCUGUGUACUACUGUGCUCUGCAGCCCACAGUGACAGGAAACACCAAAACU